rnacentral:rRNA from 1 species
UACGUAGGGUGCGAGCAUUGUCCGGAAUUAUUGGGCGUAAAGAGCUUGUAGGCGGUUCGUCGCGUCUGCCGUGAAAAUCCGGGGCUCAACCCCGGACUUGCGGUGGGUACGGGCAGACUAGAGUGUGGUAGGGGAGACUGGAAUUCCUGGUGUAGCGGUGAAAUGCGCAGAUAUCAGGAGGAACACCGAUGGCGAAGGCAGGUCUCUGGGCCACUACUGACGCUGAGAAGCGAAAGCGUGGGGAGCGAACAGG